rnacentral:lncRNA from 1 species
AUAGAUCUACACAUCAAAACAAAAUAUAGGAAGACCCCCAAACUUGAACUGACAUUAUCCUUAAAGUAUGCAAUAAAAGAAAUUAAUGCAAGAACUUCCUCGAAAAGAGGUCAGUUGUCGCUGUCCGCAAUCGUCUCCUUUUAUCUGCUAAGAUGUGUGAUCUGAAAAACACAAAAAUUAAACAAAUUAAUUACAAAAAAAAAAAUACAAGUUUAAAUUAAGAUCAACUUGAUUGAAAUCAAUAUUGAAAAAAUAUUAGAAAAAUAACACACCGGCAACGGCUCCAAAAACUUGUUGGUUGAUUUAACAAUCAAUAAAUACGAGCAAGUAUACACGGUCAACAAAUAAUAAAAUGAUAAGAAGAGUAUCAUUCCCACGAGAAAUUAAUUCUAACGUUUUAUCAAGUACCAACUUUAUAUCAAGUCAGUCUUUUUUAAACGGAUAAAUUAAUGAAUACUAAUUUAACUAAACAUAAAUAACUAAAUAAUAAAAUAUAAUUACAUAGAUAAAUACAUUUAAGAAUUCAAUUUCUUCUUAUGCUUCAUUCAAAUAUCAUAACUCUCUAUCGAAUUAUACAGUCACGAUGAAUUGUUAAUCGAGAAUUCGUUAGUAUUUAUACGCCUCCUUCGAUGGUCAUAUAAACAUAUCCUUUCUAAUUUCACCACAAUAAGAAUAGAAUCAAAUAGGAACAUCAUAGCUAAAUAACUCACUAUAUUCCUAUGUGAGUUAAAUUAACAUGAAUUUUAAGCAUAGAUUCUCCAAUUGGUUACACAUGGCAUAUAGGUAUAUCCCUAUCCUAUACACAAAUCAUAAAUUUCAUCACAUGCAGAAAACACAAUCAUAUGUUAUCAUAUUCAUAUCUAAAUCUAUAAUUCAUCUCCCAAUUUAAUAUAGAUUGUCCCAUUAAUUACUAACCGGUUAAUUAAUACAUGAACGCACAAAAUAUGAUAAACCAAUUCAUAUGGUGCCAAUCAAAUAGAAAGAAAUUUAAUUUAAACUACAUAAGAGAUUCCAUUAAAAAUUUAAAUUAAAAACAUGUUAUAGCAAAUAAAAUUAUAAUCCACAAAAUAUUCUGCAUCAAUGAAAGACAAAAAAAAAAUAAAGGUUUAGAGAAGAAAAACCGUCUUCCGCAAAUAUUCUAUCUCCAAGCUUCAUCAAUCCAUGACCUCCAUUUUUGAUAAUAGUUUGCUUAUCCUUGAACUAUGAAGAUAAUUAGCCUCACAUGGUGUUCAUUGACUUUUUUCCAACAACUUUUAUAAUCCUAAGAGAAUUACAAUCCUAAUUAAAUUUACAUACAUAAUAUCCUAAUUUUAAUAUAAAAAAAAACUAUAAUACAAUUCCUUUUUCAAAUCUACAAUUAAUUUUCAUGCAAAAAUUAGGCUUUACAACAUCCAUAUCCUAGUAGAAAUCAUAAAUCAUUGACCCAGUGGGAAAGAAUUUGUGUCCACUUUCUGCCUUCCAAUGCCCCGGCAUUCAAAUCCUUCACAAUACGAAUGCCUCAGCAUUCAACUUCCACUUAUUUAUGAAACUGUCACUGCUUUCCCAAAAUCGUCAGAUUUACCCUUUCUUUGCCUAAAAUUACUCAAAGCAAGCAUAAAAUACCCCCAAACUAAAAUUACUCAAAGCAAGCAUAAAACUUAGUCCAAAAGCAUCCUAUUCAUUGGCACCCAUCAAAUUCCCCAAAAUUUAAAUAUUUGUUUGUCCUCAAGCAGUUUAAACAAAAACUAUAAAAAUAAAAACUAAUAACUAAUUGUCAAACAAGCAAUGAACCAAUUUGAAAUUGAACAUGGCCUCAAAGAUUUGAUUAAAUGAUAACUCUCCUAGAAAAUUUCGAAACUAUGCAAAGCUCAAAAUUCCAACAUCUUAUUAGUCAUACUUCAUUCAAGACCCUUCGUGUGUGUGUAAAUCUAAAUGUAUCAAAUUAGUGAUAGAAAAAAAACUAAAAAAAAAACUCAUAUAAGCAAAUGCAUCAUAAAAGAUAUCAAAAAAAUUAGAUUACAACAAGAAUUUUAUAUGUUUAUCGUCUACAACUUAAAGUGAAUACAAAAAAACAUAACUAUGUGAUCCCAAGGUUUUAAAACAUUUAAGCCCCUUUUAACCCUUCCUCAUGAAUUCAAAACCACAAUUUUUUUUCUUUUAUUAUUUUUUUAGUGAGUGCAUUUUACGCUCCAUCUCACUUUUCAUUGAACGAGUGCGUUUUACGCUUCAUCUCAACCCACCACAUGAUCCAUUCAUUCAACUAGGGAUGGUUCAAAAUUUCUAAAAAAAAAUCUUCAAAUUAACCAAGAUUUCCCCCAAACUGUAUUCUCCUUCGUUUUGCACUUUAAGUUAUAAUCAAAUAAGAUAUAAAGUUCAUAAAUAUCUUUCACAAGUAUUUAACAUAUAAACUUCCUCAAAGUUAAAAUUAGCUCAACCAAAUGGAUAUGUGCAUAAAAGAAUUAAAGGUCUCAAACAAAACAAAAACUAACAAAAAAAAACAAAGACUAAGCAAUAUUUAUCCCUUUUUCUAAGAAUUAUUAAAUAAAAAUCAAAAUUUCAUCAUUGACCAAAAAAUCUUCAAAUUCAGUUAAUUCAUUACCCAAGAGACACUACCUAAAAACAAUACACCAUUUUUGUAGGAAACACGAUUGCACUUAGCAUGUGUAAUAAGUCUUUAAACCCCAAGGUUACCCCAAGUGGACAAGUUGUGUCUCAUGAGAGUUUGCAACGAAUAUACCACCAAAUUCAAAAUAAAAAUAAAAAAAAACUAAAUAAAAUCACAACAUAAAUCUACACAUCAAAACAAAAUAUAGGAAGACCCACAAACUUGAAACUAACAUUAUCCUUAAACUAUGCAAUAAAAGAAAUUAAUGCAAGAACUUCCCUGAAAAGAGGUCAGUUGUCGUUGUCCGCAACCGUCUCCUUUUAUCUACUAAGAUACGUGAU